rnacentral:rRNA from 1 species
UACGUAGGGAGCAAGCGUUGUUCGGAUUUACUGGGCGUAAAGCGCGCGUAGGCGGACCUGCAAGUCGGGGGUGAAAGCCCGAGGCUCAACCUCGGAACUGCCUUCGAUACUGCGGGUCUCGAGUCCGGAAGAGGUGAGUGGAAUUCCUAGUGUAGAGGUGAAAUUCGUAGAUAUUAGGAAGAACACCAGUGGCGAAGGCGGCUCACUGGCCCGGUACUGACGCUGAGGCGCGAAAGCGUGGGGAGCAAACAGG